AUCACCUUUUAGUAUUUCAUGUUAAGAAUAUUAAAUAUAUAAAAUAGAUAUUGCUUACAUGUAUAGGUGAAAAUUGUAUGACCACAUGUUUGUUAACAUUUUAUAGGGGUUUGGAUGUGUUUGUUGUGUUCCCUGUGUUUGUACAGGUUGCCAAAGUUAUUUCAUGAUUAUGCUUUUAAAAGAGUUCCCUUCAUUUGACGGGUUCAGUUUCAAUUAGUAUUUAGCCAUAUUUUGGAUCUAUAAUUAACUAAAACAUAUCUUCCUGUGUAGCUCUUUUCUUCUGAUCUUAUGUCUCAAUUAUUUUGUGAAGGACUCACAAAUGAAGUCGGGAAGCAGGCAACUUCAUCCGCUGUUCCUGCAAUGCGUGGAAAUGAGUCUUCCACUCCAGCUGCAGGAGGAAUGGCUAAUGCCGGAUCUAGGGAGAGUAUGCAAUCGCAGCUUUGAAUAAAGUAAAGCAAAUAAUUGAGUAGCUAAUGUGGAAUUUGGUAUCUGACAAAAAAUUAUCAGUUGAUUUGCAAGCCAGAAAUUCACAUAUUUAGACAGAUUAAUACACUUCUAGAAUACUGAAACAUAAAUGAGAUUGAUGUAUUCCAUUACAAAAGAUUAUUAAUCCAUAUGAGAAUUCAGAAUUGAAAUACUGAGAGCAGUUGAUUAUUAUCUGUGUUUGAUAUUUCAUUUUUCUGCAAUAUUUAUAACAUUUAAAUGUUGUAAGCUAUAUAACUUCUUGUUUUUGUGGAAUGUAAUUGACAUUAAGGAACUCAAUUAGGCAAUUGUGACCAACUUAUUAUCUGAAAAGCAAGCCAAUCCAAAGAUAAAAUUAAUUUCUAAUGAAUCACACAACACCAUUACGAAAUACGGAUGUAAUUUAGAAACUAACAUGCAUGUCUUUAAAACAAAAAUAGCUCAACUAUACUAAGCAGUUCCAACUGCUUACUAUGGAAGACAGUACUACAAAUGGUGAUUUUUUGAGUGUAAUGUUUUGUUUUCCUGACAAACUCAGGGUUUCUAUUUAUAUUGCUGUUGCGAUUACUACUUGCUUCAUUAGCUGAUGAUCUUGGCCUUAGUCUUUUGGGAGACGUAACACCACCAGGUGCCAGAAUAGUAGGUGCAGAAGAUUUGUCUCUGGAUGAUACUGCCAUUCGAGGUGCAUGUUUCAUGGAUUCCAGUUCAUUUGACAUUAGGGAGUUGAUUGUCCCAGUGGUUCCAACUUUGAUGGACCCUCCACCACCUUUGAUGGACUCCAAUCUCUAUCAGAGUUCUG
rnacentral:lncRNA from 1 species